CAUCUAUUUUUCAUUGCUCAUUUAUGUUCUUGAUUUUUGUUCUUGUAUUCUGUCUGCAUCUAUUUUUCACUGUCAGUUUCUGUUCUGUUCUUGAUUCUUGAUUUUUGUUGAUUUUGAAUUUGUUCUCUAACUUUUGUGGUUGCAGUUUUUUAUUUAUUUGAUUUUAAUUUGUUGUUUGGUGUUCUCAUGUCAAUUUUGGUUAAGUGCUCUCUGUUCUUAUUUUAUUUUGAUCACUCAGGUUUCGAUCCCAGAAUUGUACAAUGGAAUAGACUGAUUUGAGGUUCCAGAACCAUGCUGUCCUUGCUUUCCACGAAGCUGCUGAAGCCUACUUGGUUGGUUUGUUUGAGGACACCAACUUGUGUGCCAUCCAUGCCAAGAGGUCACCAUAAUGCCCAAAGACAUUCAGCUUGCUCGCCGCAUCCGUGGUGAACAUGCUUAGGCUGAUUGAUUUCAUGCUUCUUGAUCGCUUCGGAAUACACCUUGUGUUACUAGUUUAGUAUUGUUCAAGUUUCCUAUGCCAUUGUAUAGUUCUUGACAACCUUUUAGGUUUCAAUUGAUGUCUUUAGAAUGAUUAUUUUGGUUAUGGUACAGUAGAUCAUAGAAAGAUACUACAAAUGGAAUGAUUUGAUUACUGGUGUAAGACAGUUUAUUUUGGAUUUAGCUCUUAAUAAUUAAUAUUAACUUUGAUACAA